rnacentral:rRNA from 1 species
CGCAUCUGUGCAUGCAGCAUAUCAAUAAGCGGAGGAAAAGAAACUAACAAGGAUUCCCCUAGUAACGGCGAGUGAAGCGGGAAGAGCUCAAAUUUGAAAUCUUAAAGGGUUUCCCUUUACGAAUUGUAGUUUAAAGAAGUGUUUUCUGUUGAGGUUUUGGUAAAAGUUCUUUGGAAUAGGACAUCAUAGAGGGUGAGAAUCCCGUAUUUGACCUUUACUUUCAACUUUGUGAUACACUUUCAAAGAGUCGGAUUGUUUGGGAAUGCAGUCCAAAAUGGGUGGUAAAUUUCAUCUAAAGCUAAAUAUUGGCGAGAGACCGAUAGCGAACAAGUACCGUGAGGGAAAGAUGAAAAGAACUUUGAAAAGAGAGUUAAACAGUACGUGAAAUUGUCAAAAGGGAAGCGUUUGACACCAGUGUUGUUUUUCUGAAAAUCAAUUAAAGAACUGUUUAUGCUAAGCUGUUUAGACUUUAUCAGCUAACUGUUUAGUUUUGAGCUUUUCUUUAAUGCACUUUUCAGUUAACAAGUCAACAUCAAUUUCUUUUGCUGUAAAAAAGCUUGAGGAAGGUGGCUUGAGAUUCGUCUCAAGUGUUUAUAGCCUCUUGCCUAUGCAGUCGGAGAGAUUGAGGUCUGCAGCGUAGAUCCUUCGGGGCUAAAUGCAUUUGUGCUAAGUUAUAACAUUUUAUAGACAACUUGUUGACUAUGAUUUGUCUUGUAGCUUACUCGCUUAUGUUAUUUUACCUACGCUUAGGAUGUUGACAGCAGUAUAGACUGU